AUACAACAAGUCCUCCAACUCAUACGACCGUAUGGGUCGUUUGUCACUAUCCAUAAAUACGACCCACACGAGCGUUCUCUAAAUUAGCGCCCCUAUUGGCAACAGGAGGUAUGAUAAAUGAACUUUCGCCUAAAUGCAUUGUGGGUUUAUUUUAACAUGUUUGCUAUUUGCGUUUUGAAUUGUUUGAUUUAAACUCUCCCAGAUCUUCGUGGAUUUUGAUGAUAUGGAUUUUAGAUGACUUCGAGACAUGUACAGGUAAGGUUUUCUCCCGUCUCAUAAAGUAGUCGAUCGUUUAUGAAUAAUAUGAGUUUUUAUUUUCAAAUCGAUACUGGACACUGUAUGUCCUAUUAAACCAGUUUGACGUUCAAAUCAUUUAAUCGAAAUCUGCAGCUUUAUAAAGUUAGUUUUCAUUGUGAUAUUCGUUUGAAAUUCGCCUGUGGUGGAAAGAGGUCAUGUAAAAGUCGCGCAUUUACCAUGUUUUUACCAUAGUAACAUGUCGCUGAACCAUGUCACGUGUUAUAAAACCUCAGUAACCACAACUCAAUGUAUCUCCCGUCAUAACUGUAGUUUUACUUUGGUAUUUGUAGUAUAAACACGUUACCAUGCUUUUCACCACAGUAACUGUGCUUAUUGUGUACUCUUUAGUUAAGUAACACAUUUGCCAUGCCUUUAAUACCUUUUUGUAAUGUAAUUGUGAUUCAGUGUUUUUUUUCUUUUCAGUUUUGCAGUUUCUUCAUAUCACAUACAUCUCCAGCUCCUACAACAACAUUCAGUGUCCAGCAGCUCUUUAUGAUGCUCUCUCUCUCUCUCUCUCUCUCUCUCUCUUUCUCUCUCACUCUCUCUCUCUCUCUCUCUCUCUCAUUUUCGUUUCCUAUUUUUCUGAACUGUAAUUCAUAAAUAAGUCACACAUAUUUUUCUUUCUUUCUCUUGUUCAUCAUGGCAUAUUUUCACAGCUCAGAAUCAGAUUUUGAUCAGUUCUUGUAUUAACAGGGAACUUGUACUCGAAGCUCAACUUGAAGAAGUUUCCAGUGAAGAUGAAGUCCUUCAAAGGUUCGACACAGGUACAAACAGAGCGGAUGGUUGCAUGAUGGCCUCUUUCAGGUUUGUCAACUGAAUGUCUACUAGUGUGGCUCAGCAAGUUCCUGUCAUGAUCAGCCCUCUCCAAGAAAGCUGAAGAGCAAAAACACAAAGAACAUCAGUCCUGUUGGGGAUGAGGAAUGAACAUGGCUCUAUUGUGCCCAAACAGAAAAGAGUGAAAAGUCCUAGAAUGAACAAAUCAUCAGGGCAUCAUUUCUGGAAUUUGGGCAGAAAAUGACUGAAUAUGAAAGACUGCAGUAGAAGGAAAGCUGGUACUGAGAACAUUUGUCUUCACUCCAGACUAAAGAGAAGUGGGUCUGAGGCCAGAGAUGGAGGAGUCAGUGGUCACCAAAUGCAGCGCUGCAGCCUGAAACUGUGAAGACUGAAUUCCCAAACAGCUGUGUGACUGCACAGAUGUUACGGCCAUAAAAGAAACUUCACAACUGAGAGCCCAUACCUCCAACAACCUUCAACAGGAAUCAAUGGACAUCUACGCAAGGUUUUUCUUUUGUUGAGGACCGUCAGAGACUCCAGCCACACGAGCCAUGGAUUGCUCUCAACAUCACCAUCAGACAGACAUUAUCACAGAACCAGCACCAGCAGACUGCAAGACAAGUUCCUUCCACAGGCGAUCAGACUGAACUGAACUCGUACCAGUAACACCACACACACACACACACAAACACACACACACACACACACACACACUCACACACCAGCAUACUGUGUGCACUGCACUCUAUCAGCUACACUGACUGGACUCUGACUCACUAUUAUUCUGCAACCUGAUAUUCUGUUUGCACUAAUUCAUACUGUACUGAAAGUGAAAGUGACGUGACAUACAGUCAAGUAUGGUGACCCAUACUCAGAAUUUGUGCUCUGCAUUUAACCCAUCCGAAGUGCACACACACAGAGCAGUGAACACACACACACUGUGAACACACACCCGGAGCAGUGGGCAGAGGUAUAUCUACAGUAUACAGUGAUUGUUGUUAAUUGUUUUCAUUUUGUUCUCUCUGUAUAGUAUAGUAUUGCACUAUAUUUUCUACCUGUAUUGAGCUCUUAUGUAUACGGUUUAUAUUUUUGAUACUGUAUAUGUGUUGCAAAUAUAUUCAGUACUUGUCAUGCUGCAGUUUGCAGAAAAGCAUUUUACCACCUGUAUACUUGCAUUCAUGGUAUUGUGAUAAUAAAAUGAUUUGAUUUGAAUUGGUCACAUGACUUGUUCAUCAGUUGUAUUGUUGUGCUGGAUAACAAUUGCAAAUUGUUUAUGACAUUGAAGAAGAUCAUGAUAGAGACAUGGAUUUGAAGAAAACCAGGAGAGCUCUGAUGAUGAGAAGGAAACUGGAUGUGAUUCUUUGGUGCUCAAGACAUUUCACCAUGCCUUCAUCUGGGUUUCUUCAUCUGAUUAAAAUAAAAUGGUUUUAAUGUAACCCAUUUUUAUUUCACUUUAAUAUAAUUUGUCUUAAUAUGCUUCUUUAUCUGUCUUUAUGCUGCAUCCUAGUAAAAUAUUGCGUAUGGUGUUGGAUAAUCAAGUAUGGUGAAUAUUCUGUACUAGAGAUGGUUUUUUGGUAGAUACACCAUUUAAUUUUGUAAACAACACAUAUAAUCACCAUGGUUGUUUUGAUGAAGACAUGAACAUUUAGUAAUAUUAAUGAAAUUCAGUUAGAUGAAGAGCUGCAUUAGAAGAGACUGCAUGGACUUCAUGCACAACUGAAGGUGAUGAAUCAAGGAAAGAUCAACAUGAAUCCUGUUCUGUAUUAUAAUGAAGAUGUUCAUGCACAUUACUGAUGUCUAGCUCCUGAGCAGGACAAAGAUGAGACAUUCUUUACAGAGAUUUAUGAAUUAGGUAUUUUAUAUUAUGAUUCUUUAAAUUGCAUGAAUUGUAUGGAACCAUAAACUGCACACUGUCACACAUUGUCUUACUGAAUGACACAUUGGCCUUGUCUGAUGAAAUGUCAGAAUAUGUAUUUGUUGUCUUUGUUUACUAUUAGCACUGUAUUAUUGCUCUUGAUCUUAUGAAAUAAAUUGAGCUCUUUCCAAAUGGGCACUUAUGUUGA